AUUGAACGCUGGCGGCAUGCCUUACACAUGCAAGUCGAACGGCAGCACGGGAGCAAUCCUGGUGGCGAGUGGCGAACGGGUGAGUAAUGUAUCGGAACGUGCCCAGUCGUGGGGGAUAACGUAGCGAAAGCUACGCUAAUACCGCAUACGAUCUAUGAAUGAAAGCGGGGGAUCGCAAGACCUCGCGCGAUUGGAGCGGCCGAUAUCAGAUUAGGUAGUUGGUGGGGUAAAGGCUCACCAAGCCGACGAUCUGUAGCUGGUCUGAGAGGACGACCAGCCACACUGGGACUGAGACACGGCCCAGACUCCUACGGGAGGCAGCAGUGGGGAAUUUUGGACAAUGGGCGCAAGCCUGAUCCAGCAAUGCCGCGUGCAGGAUGAAGGCCCUCGGGUUGUAAACUGCUUUUGUACAGAACGAAAAGGUUUCUACUAAUACUAGGAGCUCAUGACGGUACUGUAAGAAUAAGCACCGGCUAACUACGUGCCAGCCGCCGCCGUAA
rnacentral:rRNA from 1 species